rnacentral:rRNA from 1 species
GACGAACGCUGGCGGCGUGCUUAACACAUGCAAGUCGAACGGAAAGGCCCUGCUUUUGUGGGGUGCUCGAGUGGCGAACGGGUGAGUAACACGUGUGUAACCUGCCCUUGAUUUUGGGAUAACUUCAGGAAACUGGGGCUAAUCCCGGAUAGGAGAUCCUGCGGCAUGGUGGGGGUUGGAAAGUUUCGGCGGUUGGGGAUGGACUCGCGGCUUAUCAGCUUGUUGGUUGGGUAGUGGCUUACCAAGGCGUUGACGGGUCGCCGGCCUGAGAGGGUGACCGGCCACAUUGGGACUGAGAGACGGCCCAGACGCCUACGGGAGGCAGCAGUGGGGAAUAUUGCACAAUGGGCGGAAGCCUGAUGCAGCAACGCCGCGUGCGGGAUGACGGCCUUCGGGUUGUAAACCGCUUUCGCCUGUGACGAAGCGUGAGUGACGGUAAUGGGUAAAGAAGCACCGGCUAACUACGUG